rnacentral:rRNA from 1 species
GAUGAACGCUGGCGGCAUGCCUAACACAUGCAAGUCGAUCGGUAAGGCUCUUCGGAGUACACGAGAGGCGGACGGCUGAGUAACGCGUAGGAACACACCCUGCAGUGAGGGAUAAGACACCGAAAGGUGUUCUAAUACCGCAUACGGUCUUCGGAUUAAAGCAUUUAUGCGCUGAAGGAGUGGCCUGCGUCAUAUUAGAUAGUUGGUGAGGUAAUGGCUUACCAAGUCGAUGAUGUGUAGCUGGUCUGAGAGGAUGAUCAGCCAGACUGGAACUGAGACACGGUCCAGACUCCUACGGGAGGCAGCAGUGAGGAAUAUUUCACAAUGAGCGAAAGCUUGAUGGAGCAAUGCCGCGUGCAGGAUGAAGGCCUUCGGGUUGUAAACUGCUUUUAUAAGAGAAGAUUAUGACGGUAACUUAUGAAUAAGGGACGGCUAACUACGUGCCAGCAGCCGCGGUCAUACGUAGGUCCCGAGCGUUAUCCGGAGUGACUGGGCGUAAAGAGUUGCGUAGGCGGUCAAGUUAGCGAGCGAUGAAAACUAUCGGCUCAACCGAUAGCUUGUUGUUCGAACUGCUUGACUCGAGAGUAUCAGAGGUCGCUGGAAUUCCUAGUGUAGCAGUGAAAUGCGUAGAUAUUAGGAAGAACACCGAUGGCGUAGGCAGGCGACUGGGAUAUUUCUGACGCUAAGGCACGAAAGCGUGGGUAGCGAACCGGAUUAGAUACCCGGGUAGUCCACGCCGUAAACGAUGGAUGCUAAUUGUUUGAGGUAUCGACCCCUCGAGUAAUAAAGCUAACGCGUUAAGCAUCCCGCCUGUGGAGUACGGCCGCAAGGCUAAAACAUAAAGGAAUUGACGGGGACCCGCACAAGCGGUGGAGGAUGUUCUUUAAUUCGACGUUAAGCGAAGAACCUUACCAGGGCUUGACAUCCCUAGAACUUUUUCGAAAGAAAAAGGUGCCUUCGGGAGCUAGGUGACAGAUCCUGCAUGGCCGUCGUCAGCUCGUGUCGUGAGAUGUUUGGUUAAGUCCAUCAACGAGCGCAACCCUUGUCGUCAGUUGUAUUUUUCUGGCGAGACUGCCCCGGUAACGGGGA